AACAGGAUUAGAUACCCUGGUAGUCCACGCUGUAAACGAUGAUCACUCGUUGUUGGCGAUACACAGUCAGCGACUGAGCGAAAGCAUUAAGUGAUCCACCUGGGGAGUACGGUCGCAAGACUGAAACUCAAAGGAAUUGACGGGGGCCCGCACAAGCGGAGGAACAUGUGGUUUAAUUCGAUGAUACGCGAGGAACCUUACCUGGGCUUAAAUGUAGGACGACGUUUCGGGAAACCGGAACUCCCUUCGGGGCGUUUUGCAAGGUGCUGCAUGGUUGUCGUCAGCUCGUGCCGUGAGGUGUCGGGUUAAGUCCCAUAACGAGCGCAACCCUUAUCGUUAGUUGCCAUCGGGUCAUGCCGGGAACUCUAACGAAACUGCCGGUGUAAACCGUUAGGAAGGUGGGGAUGACGUCAAAUCAGCACGGCCCUUAUGUCCAGGGCUACACACGUGUUACAAUGGUCGGUACAGAGGGCAGCUACCACGCGAGUGGAUGCAAAUCUCGAAAGCCGAUCUCAGUUCGGAUUGGAGUCUGCAACUCGACUCCAUGAAGCUGGAUUCGCUAGUAAUCGCGCAUCAGCCAUGGCGCGGUGAAUACGUUCCCGGGCCUUGUACACACCGCCCGUCAAGCCAUGGAAGCUGGGGGUACCUGAAGUCUGUAACCGCAAGGAGCGGCCUAGGGUAAAACUAGUGACUGGGGCUAAGUCGUAACAAGGUAAC
rnacentral:rRNA from 1 species